rnacentral:rRNA from 1 species
CGGCACGGGUGAGUAACACGUAUCCAACCUGCCGUCUACUCUUGGACAGCCUUCUGAAAGGAAGAUUAAUACAAGAUGGCAUCAUGAGUCCGCAUGUUCACAUGAUUAAAGGUAUUCCGGUAGACGAUGGGGAUGCGUUCCAUUAGACAGUAGGCGGGGUAACGGCCCACCUAGUCUUCGAUGGAUAGGGGUUCUGAGAGGAAGGUCCCCCACAUUGGAACUGAGACACGGUCCAA